rnacentral:lncRNA from 1 species
UUCAGAGAACAACAUACCAAAGUACAGUAGAUACUAGUACGGGAAAUGUACCUAGAAGAAGAAUAUACAUAAUAGACCAAGAAACAGAAAUAGAAAAUGUAAAACCAUCAAGAAAAAGGAUGCCCAUAGAAGAACCUAUAAGAUUACAAGAAGGAGGAAAUAAAGGUUAAAUAUUAAAUAUAGCAGCCCAUGAUCCACAAAUGUGGAACUCAGUAAUAGAUCUAUAGAAAGGAAUAGUAGUAGCAGACUUUAUAAAAACUUAUAAUGAUACAGAUGCAGAAACAAUAUAUAAAUAUAUGGAAACUUUUCUAGGAGAAUCGACAAAAGGUUUAUGGGAAGCUUAUAAAUCC